rnacentral:rRNA from 1 species
CCAAUAGCGUAUAUUAAAGUUGUUGCAGUUAAAAAGCUCGUAGUUGAAUUUCGGGGUCAGCAGGUUGGUCGUGCCACUGGUAUGCACUGGUUUCGCUGAUUCCUCCUUUCUGAAGAACUGUAAUGCCAUUAAUUUGGUGUUGCAGGGAAACAGGACUGUUACUUUGAAAAAAUUAGAGUGUUUAAAGCAAGCUAACGCUUGAAUACAUUAGCAUGGAAUAAUGAAAUAGGACGUUUGAUCCUAUUUUGUUGGUUUCUAGGAUUGACGUAAUGAUUAAUAGGGAUAGUUGGGGGCAUUAGUAUUCAAUUGUCAGAGGUGAAAUUCUUGGAUUUAUUGAAGACUAACUACUGCGAAAGCAUUUGCCAAGGAUGUUUUCAUUAAUCAAGAACGAAAGUUAGGGGAUCGAAGACGAUCAGAUACCGUCGUAGUCUUAACCAUAAACUAUGCCGACUAGGGAUCGGAUGAUGUUAAUUUUUUAAUGACUCA